GGUGUUUGGAGACCUCUGGGAUAAAGCAUUUCUCACUGCUGCCUCUGCUCCUCUACAUGGGAAGAAACAUAGGUAAAGAAAUGUGACUGUGUAAGGCUCCUAGCAUCUAUAAUCGUUGGUCGGUUUGGAAAUACAUAUUGCUCUUGCAUAUAAUAUUGUUGUCGGAAGGAAAGAGAGCAAGCUGUCUUACAAUUGAGCACAAUUUGUCAGCAAAAACAGGCAGCUGCACGCUCAUUCGACUCGAAGCAGCCGCACGAAGCACACAGCCAUGCCAUACAGGAGGAGGAGAUACAGCAGAAGAUCAAGAAUGCCUGUGUACAAGACUGUGGACACAUUCACUCUGAUACCUAAUAAUGUAGCACAAGAAGAGCUACUUAAUAGUCCCAUUACUUUUGUGGGGGCUAAGAUUAACUUUUCAUGUACUACAACAGAGGUUGUAACUGGUAAUAGUUGGUUAACUAUUGCUAUGGUGAGAGGGAGUGAUAAGCCUUUAUUAGGCUUGGAGUCUUAUUAUGACAGAGACAUUAUUUGUUACCGUACUUGUUCUAUUGUAGUUAAGGGCGAUAGGAAUUACUGUACAGCAGUUGUAUUAACUGAUAAACCAUUCUCAUUGUAUACGAAGAACAGGAGACGUGUUAAUGCUAAUGAGAGAGUCAAUAUCUGGGUUAAGAUUGAUGGUGUAUUAACCAACUUUUCUGAAAAAGGCUUUGCCUGAAAGCUUAAUGAAUAAUAGUCUUUUCAUUAUACCUGUCUGUAGCUCAGUAUGUUGUCUUUGCAGUGAGUAGCAAUGUAUCCUUUUCAUAAUAUUAGUGAUAUUCCAACCUGGACUGUCCAUUGUUUAAAGUAAAACUUUAUUGUAAUAUAUAAUAUAUUAUAAUCAUGAUAAUUCACACUUUACACUUGUAUUCUUAUCCAUAAUUUAUUUCUAACAGGAAGCAGCUUUCUUUCCCUGCAAUUGUUAUUGGUCAAAUCAUAUUAAACUCAGUCUGGUUAAUUCACAGAAUUAGUUUGUUGUGCUCUCCUGAUUACAGUUAGUACACUCAGCUGAGCUGACAUUCUUAGCAGUGAGUUGGAAAAUGCUGUGAUAGCAGUAUUAAAAAAAAAGAUGUGUUAAGAAAAAAGCAAAGAAAUUUGAUCAGUUCAGGUAUCAAAGUAGGAAAAACAAAAUACUGACAUUGCUGAAAUGAAUAGAUUGUGAUAGAAGGGAUUUGGAUUGUUGUGAUUUGGGAGGAUAUGGACACACAAACACACACAUAGUUUUUAUAAUGUAAUUCAGUGAUUUGGGAGAAUAGAUGGAUUCACACAAAGCCUUUAUAUUGUAAUACAUGAUGCCACUCCUAUUACAAUGUACCAGAGCAUGGCAGUAGUGUAUAAGUUUAUAAUGAAGUUCCUUUUGUGUCUUGAGAGCAUGCAGUUAUGGUUAUUAAACUCUGUCAAAACAUUAAAAGGAAGUACAUACAGGGUAUGAUCAAUUAGUAGUAGGACUGAAUUUCUGUAGCGCGAACAGAGCAGUGGAGGGGAUUGGACCGUCUGGGCGUCAUAGUUAGGAACCUUCCGGAGAGAGUGAUAUUUUUUUCCAGUUGCGUGCAGGAAAACUGUGAGGAGCACAUCGGUUUUUGUGGUCCUCCGAUCCGUAGUGUGGUCGCGUUUAGAGAUGGAGAAAAAUCUGUGUGAAACUCGGGAAAACCACAAUGGAGACUCUUGGAAUGAUUAAGGACGCCUACAGGGAUAUUGCCUUGAACUGCUCAACACUGUUAGUGGCACUAGCUGUUUCUAGAGGGGUGGGAGCUCGUUGAAGAUGACGAGCACGCCGGUCCCCCAUCAUCUUACAAGGAUUGAUGAAAAUGUGGCCAAAGUGAAGGUGCUCCUGGACUCUGGCGGGCGCUUAAACAUUCAUCUGAUGGUGAUGCGUUGGGGAUGUUGUAAGGUGCCAUACAAAAAAUUGUUACCGAGGAUUUGGCCAUGUAAAAGCUGUGUGCCAAGUUUGUGCCUAAAAUCCUGAGUGACAAACAAAACCUGAAUUGUGUGCAAAUUUCCCAGGAAAUUCUGAAAAACCCCAAAUUUUCUUCACAAUUUGAUUACCAGUGACGAAUUGCGGUGUUUUGAGUACAACCCGGAGACCAAACACCAGAGUGCUGAGUGGCACAUUGCCCCCCCCUUUUUUUUUUUUUUUUUUUUUUUUUUUCCUGUUGCGGUGUGGUUCACUGGGAGCUGUGUGACUGCUAAAUGUUAUGUGGAAGUGCUUAAAAGGUUGUGCAAAUUUGUCCUCAGAGUGUGGCCAGACUGCUGCUUGUUGGAAGCUGCACCAAGAUAACAUGCCGUGUCACAGCAUGCUGCGAAUGUUGGAACACGUGGCCAAGCACAGGGUUGCCACAUUGCCUCACCCUCCUUAGUCCAGGUCUGACUUCUUCCUCUCCAACGGAACCUCAGUGGAUACCAAUUCGGCUCUGUAGAAGGUGUCCAAAAUGCUGUGACAGUGUCCCUAAAGAGGAUCAUGGAAAGCAGGUUCCAGAAGGCAUACGUGCAGUGGGAAUCGCAUCACACGCUUUGUCGAAGUACAAGGGUGCUACUUCGAGGAAUUCUAAGGAUUAGUACCAGGUAAUUCAGUAAAAAAAAUUUAAAUUAAUUCAGUUCUGCUUCUUACUGAUUAAACCCUGUAUUUAUUUUGUAAAAGAAAUAAACCGAUGGAAAAACUUGCAACCUGUUCCAA